rnacentral:rRNA from 1 species
UACGAACUGUGCAAACGUUAUUCGGAAUCACUGGGCUUACAGGGUGCGUAGGCGGCUUGUUAAGUAGGGUGUGAAAGCCCCCGGCUCAACCGGGGAAUGGCGCCCUAAACUGGCGAGCUAGAGUGAGAUAGGGGUGUGUGGAACUUCCGGUGGAGCGGUGAAAUGUGUUGAUAUCGGAAGGAACGCCGGUGGCGAAAGCGACACACUGGAUCUUGUCUGACGCUGAGGAGCGAAAGCCAGGGGAGCAAACGGG